GUCCCCGUAGCGCAAUGGAUAGAGCGUCAGCCUCCGGAGCUGAAGGUUGCAGGUUCGAGUCCUGCCGGGGACG
rnacentral:tRNA from 1 species